rnacentral:rRNA from 1 species
CGCUUUGUGGUUCAACUGAUUUGAAGAGCUUGCUCAGAUAUGACGAUGGACAUUGCAAAGAGUGGCGAACGGGUGAGUAACACGUGGGAAACCUACCUCUUAGCAGGGGAUAACAUUUGGAAACAGAUGCUAAUACCGUAUAACAAUGACAACCGCAUGGUUGUUAUUUAAAAGAUGGUUCUGCUAUCACUAAGAGAUGGUCCCGCGGUGCAUUAGCUAGUUGGUAAGGUAAUGGCUUACCAAGGCGAUGAUGCAUAGCCGAGUUGAGAGACUGAUCGGCCACAAUGGGACUGAGACACGGCCCAUACUCCUACGGGAGGCAGCAGUAGGGAAUCUUCCACAAUGGGCGAAAGCCUGAUGGAGCAACGCCGCGUGUGUGAUGAAGGGUUUCGGCUCGUAAAACACUGUUGUAAGAGAAGAAUGACAUUGAGAGUAACUGUUCAAUGUGUGACGGUAUCUUACCAGAAAGGAACGGCUAAAUACGUGCCAGCAGCCGCGGUAAUACGUAUGUUCCAAGCGUUAUCCGGAUUUAUUGGGCGUAAAGCGAGCGCAGACGGUUAUUUAAGUCUGAAGUGAAAGCCCUCAGCUCAACUGAGGAAUUGCUUUGGAAACUGGAUGACUUGAGUGCAGUAGAGGAAAGUGGAACUCCAUGUGUAGCGGUGAAAUGCGUAGAUAUAUGGAAGAACACCAGUGGCGAAGGCGGCUUUCUGGACUGUAACUGACGUUGAGGCUCGAAAGUGUGGGUAGCAAACAGGAUUAGAUACCCUGGUAGUCCACACCGUAAACGAUGAGUGCUAGGUGUUUGAGGGUUUCCGCCCUUAAGUGCCGCAGCUAACGCAUUAAGCACUCCGCCUGGGGAGUACGACCGCAAGGUUGAAACUCAAAGGAAUUGACGGGGACCCGCACAAGCGGUGGAGCAUGUGGUUUAAUUCGAAGCAACGCGAAGAACCUUACCAGGUCUUGACAUCCCUUGACAACUCCAGAGAUGGAGCGUUCCCUUCGGGGACAAGGUGACAGGUGGUGCAUGGUUGUCGUCAGCUCGUGUCGUGAGAUGUUGGGUUAAGUCCCGCAACGAGCGCAACCCUUAUUACUAGUUGCCAGCAUUCAGUUGGGCACUCUAGUGAGACUGCCGGUGACAAACCGGAGGAAGGUGGGGAUGACGUCAAAUCAUCAUGCCCCUUAUGACCUGGGCUACACACGUGCUACAAUGGCGUAUACAACGAGUUGCCAACCCGCGAGGGUGAGCUAAUCUCUUAAAGUACGUCUCAGUUCGGAUUGUAGGCUGCAACUCGCCUACAUGAAGUCGGAAUCGCUAGUAAUCGCGGAUCAGCACGCCGCGGUGAAUACGUUCCCGGGUCUUGUACACACCGCCCGUCACACCAUGAGAGUUUGUAACACCCAAAGCCGGUGGGGUAACCUU